UCCGCGGUAGCUUAAUGGUGAGAGCAUCGCACGGGCAAUGCGAAGACGUGGGUUCGUUCCCCACUUGCGGAC
rnacentral:tRNA from 1 species